rnacentral:rRNA from 1 species
GAUGAACGCUAGCUACAGGCUUAACACAUGCAAGUCGAGGGGAAACGACAGGGAGUGCUUGCACACUCUGGGCGUCGACCGGCGCACGGGUGAGUAACGCGUAUCCAACCUGCCCACCACUUGGGAAUAACCUUGCGAAAGUAAGACUAAUGCCCAAUGAUAUUGAGUGCAGACAUCUAAUCUCAAUUAAAGAUUUAUCGGUGAUGGAUGGGGAUGCGUCCGAUUAGCUUGUUGGCGGGGUAACGGCCCACCAAGGCAACGAUCGGUAGGGGUUCUGAGAGGAAGGUCCCCCACAUUGGAACUGAGACACGGUCCAAACUCCUACGGGAGGCAGCAGUGAGGAAUAUUGGUCAAUGGGCGAGAGCCUGAACCAGCCAAGUAGCGUGCAGGAUGACGGCCCUAUGGGUUGUAAACUGCUUUAUAAGGGAAUAAAGUGAGCCUCGUGAGGCUUUUUGCAUGUACCUUAUGAAUAAGGACCGGCUAAUUCCGUGCCAGCAGCCG